CAACAGGAUUUUUUUGAAUCUAUUGAACAUAACCAAACGAAAGCAA
rfam:Picea glauca, whole genome shotgun sequence.